AACAUCUAACCUCAUAUUAUUCUAAAUGGCGACAUAAAACUGAAGUAGUAUCUAACAAAAUAUUUAUCUCAAACAGUGACAUAAAACAGAAGAUCCACUAAAACAUAAAUAAUAUCGGGUAACAUAUAAAAUGUUUCCUAAAAUAAAUGUCAGCUAUAUCAAAAAAAAUCACGAACUUCCUUCUCUCCUCUAAUGUUUCGACUUGAUAUUUAGCAGUAGCAACUUCCAAAUCUUGGGAAGAGACUUCAUCUAACUGUUCAGAUUGUGAAACAAGACAGCUUUCACGGUAGUAGCUUUUUAUUGAGAGGAUAUUUUUUUCUUUGGAUAGUGUUCGAGAUUGUUCGUAAGUGAGAGGAGAUGAAAAAAAGUAAGAAAGAAAAUGAAAAAUAGUUAGGAAAAAAGAUGAAAGAUAACUAGAAAAAGAUAAAAAAGAAAAUUACAUAAGACUAAAAGAUGAAAUGAGAGAAAACUAAAGAAUAAUUGUGAAGCAGUAAAGCACAUAGGUUUCAAAACACAUAGGUUUCAAAGGGACUGACAGAACUACUAACCUAUAGGUAGACAUGCAUAAAUGGUAAAAUCGUCAUACAAAUAUUAAUAUAUUUUUUGUCGACUUUCUUAUUACUUUCUUAUCAUUAAGAAGCCCAAAUGGGCAAAUAUACAAACUUACAUACAAAUGUCCAUUCCCAAUACAACAAUCCCAAUGUUAAUUAAGUCCAUAAACGCAAACUAGGUUUAACUAUCCACCGCUUCAGUUUGCCAUGCGUCAGACAAACGAAAGUAACAAGACACGCAUCUCUUCUGCAUGUGCUUGACCUGAUUCAUGCGCCGUGAAACGCGCCGUCUGAAAAAAGAGGAAUUGUUGUUUCAAUGCCGCUUGCAGAUCCAGUUUUUUUCAUCUACGCCGUCAGACCUAUUGAUGUUCGCUUGAGGAUGCCUUCCAACACAACCGCGAGUAAUUGUCUAGAGAUGUCGUGCUUCACCGGAGUUAAAACAGAGGAUAUUUGAGUCAAAAUGAGUAAAGACCAUUUGUCGGACCGUUCAUAGAACGCCGCCUCUCCUUGAUCCACCUCAUAUAUGACUAGAAAAAUCCAUCAAACCUCAUUAGCUUCCAAUCCAAGAUGCUUUCUUCAAAGGCUAUAACUACUGAAGAAAGACUGAUUCUUUUAGGAAACAAUAGAGGUGAACGGGAAACAAGGGUCAAUGAACAGUAGCCUUACGGGAUUAAAAUAAAAUCAAGUGGAAAGCACUUAACUUCAAUCUCCAUCAAAAAUAGUAUAAAACCAUGAAGGAUCAAACAAAGCACAACAAAAAAUUUGCCAAGCGAAGAUAAUAGUCGGCUACCCGAAAAGAAACUUCGACCAAGAGAUCGAAAUAUUUUGCAAAACAAAAGAUCUGAUCUAGUGAUCAGAAAGCAAAACAUCUCAUCAGAAAGCAAAACAUCUCAUCCGAAAGAUAAAAUUGUGGUAAGAGGGAAGAAGAAACUGAGAGAAUUAUCUCUCUCUAUGAUGGAAGAGAGAGAGAGAACUUGG
rnacentral:lncRNA from 1 species